AGAGUUUGAUCCUGGCUCAGAUUGAACGCUGGCGGCAGGCCUAACACAUGCAAGUCGAGCGGUAGCACAGGGAGCUUGCUCCUGGGUGACGAGCGGCGGACGGGUGAGUAAUGUCUGGGAAACUGCCUGAUGGAGGGGGAUAACUACUGGAAACGGUAGCUAAUACCGCAUAACGUCUUCGGACCAAAGAGGGGGACCUUCGGGCCUCUUGCCAUCAGAUGUGCCCAGAUGGGAUUAGCUAGUAGGUGGGGUAAUGGCUCACCUAGGCGACGAUCCCUAGCUGGUCUGAGAGGAUGACCAGCCACACUGGAACUGAGACACGGUCCAGACUCCUACGGGAGGCAGCAGUGGGGAAUAUUGCACAAUGGGCGCAAGCCUGAUGCAGCCAUGCCGCGUGUAUGAAGAAGGCCUUCGGGUUGUAAAGUACUUUCAGCGAGGAGGAAGGCAUUGUGGUUAAUAACCGCAGUGAUUGACGUUACUCGCAGAAGAAGCACCGGCUAACUCCGUGCCAGCAGCCGCGGUAAUACGGAGGGUGCAAGCGUUAAUCGGAAUUACUGGGCGUAAAGCGCACGCAGGCGGUUUGUUAAGUCAGAUGUGAAAUCCCCGGGCUCAACCUGGGAACUGCAUUUGAAACUGGCAAGCUUGAGUCUUGUAGAGGGGGGUAGAAUUCCAGGUGUAGCGGUGAAAUGCGUAGAGAUCUGGAGGAAUACCGGUGGCGAAGGCGGCCCCCUGGACAAAGACUGACGCUCAGGUG
rnacentral:rRNA from 1 species